CCCUUAGAUGUUCUGGGCCGCACGCGCGCUACACUGACGAAUGCAACGAGCUUAUAACCUUGGCCGAAAGGUCUGGGUAAUCUCCAAAUUUCGUCGUGAUGGGGAUUGAUUAUUGAAAUUAUUAAUCUUGAACGAGGAAUUCCUAGUAAACGCAGAUCAUCAAUCUGCAUUGAUUACGUCCCUGCCCUUUGUACACACCGCCCGUCGCACCUACCGAUUGGAUGGUCCGGUGAAGCCUCGGGAUUGUGGUUCUUGCCGCUUUAUUGUGGCGUGACCGCGAGAACUUGUCUAAACCUUAUCAUCUAGAGGAAGGUGAAGUCGUAACA
rnacentral:rRNA from 1 species